UACGGGGGGGGCAAGCGUUGUUCGGAAUUACUGGGCGUAAAGGGUUAGUAGGUGGCCAACUAAGUCAGACGUGAAAUCCCUCAGCUUAACUGGGGAACUGCGUCUGAGACUGAUUGGCUCGAGGACAGGAGAGGAACGCGGAAUUCCAGGUGUAGCGGUGAAAUGCGUAGAUAUCUGGAGGAAUACCGGUGGCGAAGGCGGCAUCCUGGACCGGCAUUGACGCUGAGGAGCGAAAGCCAGGGGAGCAAACGGG
rnacentral:rRNA from 1 species